rnacentral:rRNA from 1 species
AGAGUUUGAUCAUGGCUCAGAUUGAACGCUGGCGGCAGGCCUAACACAUGCAAGUCGAGCGGUAGCACAGAGAGCUUGCUCUCGGGUGACGAGCGGCGGACGGGUGAGUAAUGUCUGGGAAACUGCCUGAUGGAGGGGGAUAACUACUGGAAACGGUAGCUAAUACCGCAUAACGUCGCAAGACCAAAGUGGGGGACCUUCGGGCCUCAUGCCAUCAGAUGUGCCCAGAUGGGAUUAGCUAGUAGGUGGGGUAACGGCUCACCUAGGCGACGAUCCCUAGCUGGUCUGAGAGGAUGACCAGCCACACUGGAACUGAGACACGGUCCAGACUCCUACGGGAGGCAGCAGUGGGGAAUAUUGCACAAUGGGCGCAAGCCUGAUGCAGCCAUGCCGCGUGUGUGAAGAAGGCCUUCGGGUUGUAAAGCACUUUCAGCGGGGAGGAAGGCGAUAAGGUUAAUAACCUUGUCGAUUGACGUUACCCGCAGAAGAAGCACCGGCUAACUCCGUGCCAGCAGCCGCGGUAAUACGGAGGGUGCAAGCGUUAAUCGGAAUUACUGGGCGUAAAGCGCACGCAGGCGGUCUGUCAAGUCGGAUGUGAAAUCCCCGGGCUUAACCUGGGAACUGCAUUCGAAACUGGCAGGCUAGAGUCUUGUAGAGGGGGGUAGAAUUCCAGGUGUAGCGGUGAAAUGCGUAGAGAUCUGGAGGAAUACCGGUGGCGAAGGCGGCCCCCUGGACAAAGACUGACGCUCAGGUGCGAAAGCGUGGGGAGCAAACAGGAUUAGAUACCCUGGUAGUCCACGCCGUAAACGAUGUCGAUUUGGAGGUUGUGCCCUUGAGGCGUGGCUUCCGGAGCUAACGCGUUAAAUCGACCGCCUGGGGAGUACGGCCGCAAGGUUAAAACUCAAAUGAAUUGACGGGGGCCCGCACAAGCGGUGGAGCAUGUGGUUUAAUUCGAUGCAACGCGAAGAACCUUACCUGGUCUUGACAUCCACAGAACUUUCCAGAGAUGGAUUGGUGCCUUCGGGAACUGUGAGACAGGUGCUGCAUGGCUGUCGUCAGCUCGUGUUGUGAAAUGUUGGGUUAAGUCCCGCAACGAGCGCAACCCUUAUCCUUUGUUGCCAGCGGUUCGGCCGGGAACUCAAAGGAGACUGCCAGUGAUAAACUGGAGGAAGGUGGGGAUGACGUCAAGUCAUCAUGGCCCUUACGACCAGGGCUACACACGUGCUACAAUGGCAUAUACAAAGAGAAGCGACCUCGCGAGAGCAAGCGGACCUCAUAAAGUAUGUCGUAGUCCGGAUUGGAGUCUGCAACUCGACUCCAUGAAGUCGGAAUCGCUAGUAAUCGUAGAUCAGAAUGCUACGGUGAAUACGUUCCCGGGCCUUGUACACACCGCCCGUCACACCAUGGGAGUGGGUUGCAAAAGAAGUAGGUAGCUUAACCUUCGGGAGGGCGCUUACCACUUUGUGAUUCAUGACUGGGGUGAAGUCGUAACAAGGUAACCGUAGGGGAACCUGCGGUUG